CCUGUUUUACAAAAACAUGUCUUUUUGAGUUAUUUUAAAAGUCUGACCUGCCCACUGAAAUUAUUUAAAUGGCCGCAGUAUUCUAACUGUGCAAAGGUAGCAUAAUCAUUAGUCUUUUAAUUGAAGGCUGGUAUGAACGGUUGGACGAGGUAUAAGCUGUUUCAUAUAAAUUUAUAAUAGAAUUUUAUAUUUUAGUCAAAAAGCUAAAAUUUAAUUAAAAGACGAGAAGACCCUAUAAAUCUUUAUAUUUUAAGUUGUUUAAAUUUUUUAGAUUAAUUUUAUUUUUAUAAUUUAGAGUAUUUUGUUGGGGUGAUAUUAAAAUUUGAUGAACUUUUAGUUGUUAAAAAUCAUUAAUUUAUGAGUUAUUGAUCCAUUAAUAGUGAUUAUAAGAUUAAGUUACUUUAGGGAUAACAGCGUAAUUUUUUUGGAGAGUUCAUAUCGAUAAAAAAGUUUGCGACCUCGAUGUUGGAUUAAGAUAUAUUUUUAGGUGUAGCCGCUUAAAU
rnacentral:rRNA from 1 species